rnacentral:rRNA from 1 species
UACGUAGGGUGCAAGCGUUAAUCGGAAUUACUGGGCGUAAAGCGUGCGCAGGCGGUGAUGUAAGACAGGUGUGAAAUCCCCAGGCUUAACCUGGGAACUGCGUCGGAUACUGGAUGGCUUGAAUUCGGGAGAGGGAUGCAGAAUUCCAGGUGUAGCGGUGAAAUGCGUAGAUAUCUGGAGGAAUACCGGUGGCGAAGGCGGCAUCCUGGACCGACAUUGACGCUGAACGGCGAAAGCUAGGGGAGCAAACGGG